CGCGGUGCGCCCCUGCUGCCGGGCGGCCGCGGCGGAGCGCACAUUGUUCUAGCGGCCCGUCCCUCUCUCCUCCCUCCUCCGCCUCCCGUCCCUCUCUCCUCCCUCCCCAGGUCCCUCCUUCCCUCGUCACCGGCCGCUGUAUAAAUCCCCUGCCCCGGCGGAUCCCCCCACCGCGGGAGACCCUGGUACUUUGGCCCCCGGGGCGGGAUCCCGCCGCCGCCUGCCCACCACUGGGACUUCGCGCUCCCGCCGCUGACCCCUCCUCGCUCUCUCCCCCCCUCCUCCCUCGCACAGUUCCCACCGGCCUCUUCCCUUCGCUACUGCGGGGCCACGAUGUCGGAAAAACGCGUCGAGGAGACACCGGCGGAGCUGAGUGCUAAGGAAAGGAAAGAAAAGAAGGAAAAACUUGAGGAGAAAGCAGUCCACAAAGAAAAGAAGAAGGAGAUAGUAGAGGAUGAGGAAAACGGAGCUGAUGAGGAUGAUGAAGAAAAUCCUGAUGAUGUGGAUGAAGAAGAAGGUGGUGAUGAGGAUGAAGAAGGAGACGAGAAUGGGCAAGAGCAGGAUGGUCACGCAGAAAAACGAUCUGCAGAGGAGGAAGAGGAUGAAGCGGAUCCAAAGAGACAGAAGACAGAAAACGGCUCUUCAGCUUGAGCCCUCCCCUCCCAUCUCCCUUGUUCCGUCCAUCUCCUCCAUUCCAGCCUGUGCUUGCACUGCCCGUUAGCCUCUGGCUUCACACAAUCUCAGAUGAGGAAAGAUUAGAAAUGCUCUCAAACAGGGAAGACAGCAGUUCCCUUGUCACCCAAAGACCUAGCCCAUCCAUGACAUUCCCCAGCUGAAAUUAUCCCAGUCUCCCAGAUCCCUUCACCUGCGCCCCACUUACCAGUGAUCCCUUCCCUCAAGAAUCUCAUGGUUCCCUGGGGCUCAGCACAUAACCUCGCCAGGCCCCUCACGUGGCAAAGGAUUUCCCCUCCCUCCCCUUUUCCCCUUCCUGCCUGUUUUUGUCACUGGUGUGAGAUUCUUGAGAGCUCCUGCUCCCCAGCCCUGCUGUCAGACCUCCCUGAGCCAGGAGGCUGCGGGCACAGAUCUCAUGGUGCGUUUCCCAGUCCUAGGCCUCUUCUCAUCCGCUUUCCCGCUGAACCCCGAGAGACAAAGAAUAUUACAAGCAAAUAAUGGUUCUAUUAAGCGACACACGGAGACAGAAUUUAUUUUAAGCUUUUCUUUUUUUUCCAAGUUUACAUGACAGCAAGCUGGCCCUCGUGAAUUUUUCAGAACAUAAGGGUUGCUUUUAUAUAUGAAUUUCAUUGAGCUGCAUAUUUUUUUAAUUUGGCGGCUUUUUUAAAACAAAUCAAGAGAGAAACAAUUGGGGACCAAACUUUGAUUUCCAUUUUUUCCCUUCAGAUUUUCUUGUGACCAUUUUUUGUAAAUUUAAGGCAAUAUAGCCACAGCAUUUUCUAUGGCACAGACAUCACGAGGGUGAUAGAUAUAAAUAUAUAUAUUGUUUUCAACAAGCACUGUAAAUAAAAGCGUUUAAAAAUAUUUCA
rnacentral:lncRNA from 1 species